UCGUGAGCCACUACCGGUUCCUCCGGCAUUAUUUGAUUGAGCUCAUCCAGGAGGUUCAGCCUGCCCUAAGGAGGAGGACAAGGAGGUCAUAUGCAAUACCGCCACACACACAAGUUUUGGUGACCUUAAGACUGUUAGCCAGCGGUUCCUUUCAGCACGUCAUAGGCGACGUAUGCGGACUUGCACAGGGCAGUGUCAGCCGUGUAGUCCAGGACGUGACAGCUGUGUUGAGUGACAUAGCUCGACAAGAGAUAAAAAUGACCUCCACGAUGCAUGCAUUGAUGGAAUCGGCAACAGCUUUUGCAAGAGUUCGGAGUUUCCCUCGGGUUAUUGGUGCCAUUGAUUGUACUCAUAUUUCCAUUAAGGCACCCCAUGAAAAUGAGGCUGCCUACGUGAACAGGAAGAGGUACCACUCUUUCAACAUCCAAGUUGUGUGUGAUGCUGCUGGUAUGAUCAUCAGCUAUUGUGUCAUUUCCAGGUAAGUGUUCCUUAUUGAUGAUAUCAUUUAUUGUUAGGCAUGUUAAUAGUUAAAUCACAAACAUCCCUUACCUGCUACAGCAUUUCUAAAGUUUGAUUUUUAGCAAGAAUAAUUGCAGAUUAGCUAUUUAGGCAAUGGAACUUGAGCAUUUGAAGAUGCUAAGACUCCACCAGUGUUGGGCACACCAAACAUGCUACAGCUUUUCUCUUGAGUCUGGUAUUUUUUUCCAGUAUUAACAUGUCCAUGUUUUGGAAUCCUUUUUUUUAUUCUCCCCUUUUUAGCAGGGUCAAAUCACGACUCCUUCAUCUGGCACCAUUGCGACCUAUAUGAACGCUUUCGCAGGGGUGAGUUUGGGGACUACCUGCUCCUUGGCGACAGCGGCUAUGCAUUAGAGCCAUUUUUGAUGACUCCAGUCCGCAACCCCACAACAGAACCGGAGGAGCGCUACAAUAGGGCCCAUACACGGACACGUGUCGUUGUGGAGCAAACCUUUGGAAUACUAAAGAGCCGGUUCAGGUGCCUUCACAAAUCUGGGGUGCCUUGCAGUAUGCUCCCAUGAAGUGCCUCAACAUCAUCACCUCAUGUUUACUGCUGCACAACCGCUGUGUCCAGCGGGGUAUUCCACUUCCCCAGCGGGUACAAAUUUAUAUUUCGCUUGAAGAGGAUGAGGAAGAGCAGGAUGCUCCUACUGCUGUUCUUGGAGCAGCUGCUGGCCGAGGAGCUGGAAGAGCAGUACGUGAAGCAAUAAUUGCUAAUUUCUUUGGGUGAAAUGGUGAGGUGUGUAUUUUAUCGGUCACUCUUGAGUAAGAGCUCAGUAAGUUUGUCACACAUGAGUCCCCUUUUCUGGAAUCCAUACUGUUUACUUGUUAUUAAAUUAUGCUCUUCUAGAAAUCUCGUCUAUUGUUUCUUUAUCACUUUUUCACAUAUUUUACAUAGUACACUGGUCAAUUACACGGGUCUGUAGUUCAGGGGUUCUUCCUUUCUUCCACUUUUGUAUAUAGG